UACGUAGGGGGCAAGCGUUGUCCGGAAUCAUUGGGCGUAAAGAGCGUGUAGGCGGCCAGAUAAGUCCGCUGUGAAAACUCGAGGCUCAACUUCGAGCUGUCGGUGGAAACUAUUUGGCUAGAGUCCGGAAGAGGAGAGUGGAAUUCCUGGUGUAGCGGUGAAAUGCGCAGAUAUCAGGAAGAACACCGGUGGCGAAGGCGGAUCUCUGGGCCGACACUGACGCUGAGGAGCGAAAGCGUGGGGAGCGAACAGG
rnacentral:rRNA from 1 species